AACACAUGCAAGUCGAGCGCGAAAGCACUUCGGUGUGAGUAGAGCGGCGGACGGGUGAGUAACGCGUAGGAAUCUACCUAGUAGUGGGGGACAACUCGGGGAAACUCGAGCUAAUACCGCAUAAGCCCUACGGGGGAAAGCGGGGGACCUUCGGGCCUCGUGCUAUUAGAUGAGCCUGCGUUGGAUUAGCUAGUUGGUGGGGUAAAGGCCUACCAAGGCGACGAUCCAUAGCUGGUCUGAGAGGAUGAUCAGCCACACCGGGACUGAGACACGGCCCGGACUCCUACGGGAGGCAGCAGUGGGGAAUAUUGCGCAAUGGGCGAAAGCCUGACGCAGCCAUGCCGCGUGUGUGAAGAAGGCCUUCGGGUUGUAAAGCACUUUCAAUUGGGAGGAAAGGUUCACGGUUAAUAACCGUGAGCUGUGACGUUACCUUUAGAAGAAGCACCGGCUAACUCCGUGCCAGCAGCCGCGGUAAUACGGAGGGUGCGAGCGUUAAUCGGAAUUACUGGGCGUAAAGCGCGCGUAGGUGGUCUGUUAAGUCGGAUGUGAAAGCCCCGGGCUCAACCUGGGAACUGCAUUCGAUACUGGCAGACUAGAGUGCGAGAGAGGGAGGUAGAAUUCCAUGUGUAGCGGUGAAAUGCGUAGAUAUGUGGAGGAAUACCAGUGGCGAAGGCGGCCUCCUGGCUCGACACUGA
rnacentral:rRNA from 1 species